rnacentral:rRNA from 1 species
CGGUGUUCAACUGGCGUGUCCGCGGGACGUCCUGCCGGUGGGCUUAGCCCGCAAGGGCGGCCCAACUUCAAAUCCCAUCGCGGUGCUCUUCACUGAGUGUCGAGGUGGGCCGGCACGUUUACUUUGAACAAAUUAGAGUGCUUAAAGCAGGCUAAAACUUCGCCUGAAUACUGUGUGCAUGGAAUAAUGGAAUAGGACCUCGGUUCUAUUUUGUUGGUUUUCGGAACCCCGAGGUAAUGAUUAAUAGGAACGGAUGGGGGCAUUCGUAUUGCGACGUUAGAGGUGAAAUUCUUGGAUCGUCGCAAGACGGACAGAAGCGAAAGCAUUUGCCAAAAACGCUUUCAUUGAUCAAGAACGAAAGUUAGAGGUUCGAAGGCGAUCAGAUACCGCCCUAGUUCUAACCAUAAACGAUGCCAGCUAGCGAUCCGUCGACGUUCCUCCGAUGACUCGACGGGCAGCUUCCGGGAAACCAAAGCUUUUGGGUUCCGGGGGAAGUAUGGUUGCAAAGCUGAAACUUAAAGGAAUUGACGGAAGGGCACCACCAGGAGUGGGAGCCUGCGGCUUAAUUUGACUCAACACGGGAAACCUCACCAGGCCCGGACACCGGAAGGAUUGACAGAUUGAGAGCUCUUUCUUGAUUCGGUGGGUGGUGGUGCAUGGCCGUUCUUAGUUGGUGGAGCGAUUUGUCUGGUUAAUUCCGAUAACGAACGAGACUCUAGCCUGCUAACUAGGCGUAUUUUCGACAUCUCAAAGGUCCGUCGUCCCGGCCCUCGGGUCGUGGGCGUGCGCGAUUUUUACUGUCGGCGUACUAUCAAUUCUUCUUAGAGGGACAGGUGGCUUCUAGCCGCACCGAGAUUGAGCAAUAGCAGGUCUGUGAUG